rnacentral:misc_RNA from 1 species
UCUCCGUUGGUGAACCUGCAGAGGGAUCAUUACAGAGUUCAUGCCCUACCGGGUAGAUCUCCCACCCUAUGUUAUUAUUACUUUGUUGCUUUGGCGGGCCGUUAGGCUCCGGCCCGACUACCGGCCCCGGCUGGUAAGCGCCCGCCAGAGGACCCAAAACCCUGAAUAUUAGUGUCGUCUGAGUACUAUAUAAUAGUUAAAACUUUCAACAACGGAUCUCUUGGUUCUG